rnacentral:rRNA from 1 species
UACGUAGGGUGCAAGCGUUGUCCGGAAUUAUUGGGCGUAAAGGGCUCGUAGGCGGUCCAUCGCGUCGGGAGUGAAAAGCUGGGGCUUAACCCCAGUCCUGCUUCCGAUACGGGCAGACUAGAGGUAUGCAGGGGAGAACGGAAUUCCUGGUGUAGCGGUGGAAUGCGCAGAUAUCAGGAGGAACACCGGUGGCGAAGGCGGUUCUCUGGGCAUUACCUGACGCUGAGGAGCGAAAGCAUGGGGAGCGAACAGG